rnacentral:rRNA from 1 species
GACGAACGCUGGCGGCGUGCUUAACACAUGCAAGUCGAACGGGAAGUCCCUGCUUUUUUGGGGUGCUCUAGUUACGAACUGGUGAGUAACACGUGAGUAACCUGUCCUUGACUUUGGGAUAACUUCAUAAAACUGGAUCUAAUACCGGAUAGGAUCUCCUGCUUCAUGGUGGGGGUGGGAAAGUUUCGGCGGUUGGUGAUGGACUCGCGUCGUAUCAGAUUGUUGGUUGGGUAGUGUAUUACCAAGGCUUUGACGGGUGGCCGGCCUGAGAGGGUGACCGGACACACUGGGAUUGGGAUGAGGCACAGCCUAGUCCGGGACGGAGGGGUGGGGAAGAGUGUAUUGUGGGAGGAAGGAUGGUGUAGCACAGCAGCGUGGGGUAAGAGGGGAAUGGGGUAGUAUAGUGAAUCUGUCUGUGACGAAGCGUGAGUGACGGUAACGGGUAAAGAAGCACCGGCUAACUACGUG